ensembl:lncRNA
AUGCCGUGGGUGCACAGUGUGGUGCCUGUACCCAGGCUGCUCAGUGGUCUCACAGAGGCCCUCACUCUGUUGCAGAGACUGCCCUCAGCUGAGCCACAGUCCCUUCUUCAGACAGUUGCCCCCCACCCAUUCCUGGGAGCAGCCAGCAGCCAGGACUGCCUGGUGCAGGGCUCUGGAGCCCCAGAAAGCCUGACUGGAGACCAUCCACUCCAGCAGUGGCUCUUUCUCAGAAGCCAGCCCUGCAAGUUGUUUCCGGAUUGGAUCACUCACCACAGGACUGGGAAGUAGGGCACCGGACCUGCACGUGCGGCUGAGUGUUCUCUGGGACAUAGCUGCUCGCGGGCCCACCACGUGCUGCAGAGCGUCGACUCCGUCAGCUGGAAGUGUACCUGCUGUGAGGUGCGCCGUCACAGGCUCUCAAGAAACCCUUGUGUAUUUCAGCAGUUCCUGUUAUUGGUCCUGACUAUGAGGGAAGAAAUGUGUUUGAGGAGGAAAAAAAGGGUGUUGGCAUCUGCCAGUACCCUGGUGGUGGAGAUUUUUUUUUUUAAUUAUAUUCAUGGUGCACAAGGAAGAAGAAAGAUGCUCAGAAUAAAUUGCCCCUUGAAGUUUGGGGAAGAAUGGAU